AGUGGAUGGGGAGCAACCUAGUUGUGCGUGUGUAAAGGUAGUGCCAAGAAAAGCGGUGAUCAUGAUGAAAAUCAAUUCCCGGUACCCGAAACCGACACAGGUGGGCAAGUAGAGAAUACUAAGGGGCGCGAGGUAACUCUCUCCAAGGAACUCGGCAAAAUGACCCCGUAACUUAGGGAGAAGGGGUGCCACCGAGAGGUGGUCGCAGUGAAGAGGCCCAGGCGACUGUUUAGCAAAAACAUAGGUCUCUGCAAACUCGAAAGAGGAGGUAUAGGGGCUGACGCCUGCCCAGUGCCGGAAGGUUAAAGAAGUUGGUCAGUCUUAGGAUAAAGCUAGCGACUGAAGCCCCGGUGAACGGCGGCCGUAACUAUAACGGUCCUAAGGUAGCGAAAUUCCUUGUCGGGUAAGUUCCGACCCGCACGAAAGGCGUAACGAUCUGGGCGCUGUCUCGGAGAGAGGCUCGGCGAAAUAGGAUUGUCUGUGAAGAUACGGACUACCUGCAUUUGACAGAAAGACCCUAUGAAGCUUUACUAUAGCUUGGAAUUGUGUUCGGGCUUCCUGUGCGCAGGAUAGGUGGGAGGCGUAGAAGGUAUUCUUGUGGGGAUACUGGAGCCAACGGCGAGAUACCACUCUCAGGAGGCUAGAAUUCUAACUUAAUUAAGGACAGUUUCAGGUGGGUAGUUUGACUGGGGCGGUCGCCUCCAAAAAGGUAACGGAGGCGUACAAAGGUUCCCUCAGACUGGUUGGAAAUCAGUCGCAGAGUGCAAAGGCAGAAGGGAGCUUGACUGCGAGAAGUACAGUUCGAGCAGGGUGGAAACACGGUCUUAGUGAUCCGACGGUGCUGUGUGGAAGGGCCGUCGCUCAACGGAUAAAAGUUACUCUAGGAUAACAGGCUGAUCUCCCCCAAGAGUUCACAUCGACGGGGAGGUUUGGCACCUCGAUGUCGGCUCAUCGCAACCUGGGGCGGAAGUACGUCCCAAGGGUUGGGCUGUUCGCCCAUUAAAGCGGUACGUGAGCUGGGUUCAGAACGUCGUGAGACAGUUCGGUCCAUAUCCGAUGUAGGCGUGAGAAUAUUGAGAGGAGCCUUCCUUAGUACGAGAGGACCGGGAAGGACGCACCGCUGGUGUACCUGUUAUGAUGCCAAUUGUAAACGCAGGGUAGCCAAGUGCGGAGAGGAUAACCGCUGAAAGCAUCUAAGUGGGAAGCCCACCUCAAGAUGAGUAUUCUGGUGUAAGGUCACGGGAAGACGACCCGUAAAUAGGCACGAGGUGGAAGUGCAGAGAUGUAUGAAGCCGAAGUGUACUAAUAGACCGCCGGCUUGA
rnacentral:rRNA from 1 species